rnacentral:rRNA from 2 species
UUUUAUUGAGAGUUUGAUCCUGGCUCAGGAUGAACGCUGGCGGCGUGCUUAACACAUGCAAGUCGAACGGAGGACCCUUGACGGAGUUUUCGGACAACGGAUAGGAAUCCUUAGUGGCGGACG